rnacentral:SRP_RNA from 1 species
CCAGGUUGUCUAAGGAGGAACGCACCGGGCGAGGCCCGAAAGGGAGCAGCCAAAAGUUCCCACGUUGAUCAGUAGCGGGAUAGCGCCUGUGAAUAGGCGGAGCGUUGCAGCCCAGUCAAUAUCGCAGGACCCAAUCCUUU